AUUGAACGCUGGCGGCAUGCUUUACACAUGCAAGUCGAACGGUAACAGGCCGCAAGGUGCUGACGAGUGGCGAACGGGUGAGUAAUGCAUCGGAACGUGCCCAGUCGUGGGGGAUAACGCAGCGAAAGCUGCGCUAAUACCGCAUACGAUCUAUGGAUGAAAGCGGGGGACCGUAAGGCCUCGCGCGAUUGGAGCGGCCGAUGUCAGAUUAGGUAGUUGGUGGGGUAAAGGCCCACCAAGCCAACGAUCUGUAGCUGGUCUGAGAGGACGACCAGCCACACUGGGACUGAGACACGGCCCAGAGUCCUACGGGAGGCAGCAGUGGGGAAUUUUGGACAAUGGGCGCAAGCCUGAUCCAGCAAUGCAGCGUGCAGGAAGAAGGCCUUCGGGUUGUAAACUGCUUUUGUACGGAACGAAACGGUUCUCUCUAAUACAGAGGGCUAAUGACGGUACCGUAAGAAUAAGCACCGGCUAACUACGUGCCAGCCGCCGCCGUAAGAC
rnacentral:rRNA from 1 species